rnacentral:rRNA from 1 species
GACGAACGCUGGCGGCGUGCUUAACACAUGCAAGUCGAACGGAAAGGCUCCAGCUUGCUGGCGUACUCGAGUGGCGAACGGGUGAGUAACACGUGGGUAAUCUGCCCUGCACUCUGGGAUAAGCCUGGGAAACUGGGUCUAAUACUGGAUAUGACCUUUCUCCUUAUGGGGUUUGGUGGAAAGUUUUUCGGUGUAGGAUGAGCCCGCGGCCUAUCAGCUUGUUGGUGGGGUGAUGGCCUACCAAGGCGACGACGGGUAGCCGGCCUGAGAGGGUGAUCGGCUACAUUGGGACUGAGAUACGGCCCAGACUCCUACGGGAGGCAGCAGUGGGGAAUAUUGCACAAUGGGCGGAAGCCUGAUGCAGCGACGCCGCGUGAGGGAUGACGGCCUUCGGGUUGUAAACCUCUUUCAGCAGGGACGAAGCGUAAGUGACGGUACCUGCAGAAGAAGCACCGGCUAACUAUGUG